rnacentral:rRNA from 1 species
GGCGAACGCUGGCGGCAGGCCUAACACAUGCAAGUCGAACGAACCUUUCGGGGUUAGUGGCGGACGGGUGAGUAACACGUGGGAACGUGCCUUUAGGUUCGGAAUAACUCAGGGAAACUUGUGCUAAUACCGAAUGUGCCCUUCGGGGGAAAGAUUUAUCGCCUUUAGAGCGGCCCGCGUCUGAUUAGCUAGUUGGUUGAGGUAAUGGCUCACCAAGGCGACGAUCAGUAGCUGGUCUGAGAGGAUGAUCAGCCACAUUGGGACUGAGACACGGCCCAAACUCCUACGGGAGGCAGCAGUGGGGAAUCUUGCGCAAUGGGCGAAAGCCUGACGCAGCCAUGCCGCGUGAAUGAUGAAGGUCUUAGGAUUGUAAAAUUCUUUCACCGGGGACGAUAAUGACGGUACCCGGAGAAGAAGCCCCGGCUAACUUCG